GAAUAUUGCGCAAUGGAGGAAACUCUGACGCAGCGACGCCGCGUGAGUGAUGAAGGCCUUAGGGUUGUAAAGCUCUGUUCUUGGGGAAGAUGAUGACGGUACCCAAGAAGAACGGACCGGCUAACUUCGUUCCAGCAGCCGCGGUAAGACGAGGGGUCCUAGCGUUGCUCGGAAUCAUUGGGCGUAAAGCGGGUGUAGGCGGCCUUGCAAGUCAGAAGUGAAAGCCCCGGGCUUAACCUGGGAAGUGCUUUUGAUACUGCUUGGCUUGAGUGUAGGAGAGGAUAGUAGAAUUCCUGGUGUAGAGGUGAAAUUCGUAGAUAUCAGGAGGAAUACCGGAGGGGAAGCCGGCUAUCUGGCCUAACACUGACGCUCAGACCCGAAAGCGUGGGGAUCAAACAGG
rnacentral:rRNA from 1 species